CUGGAUUUGGUGUUAAACAAACCAGAACUGCAACGAUAAAGAGCAGAUUAGCAUGGCCUCUGAGCAAGGAUGAUACACGAAACCGUGAAGCGUACCAUAUUUUC
rnacentral:snRNA from 1 species